CGCGUGGGAAUCUGCCCUUGGGUUCGGAAUAACAGUUGGAAACGACUGCUAAUACCGGAUGAUGACGUAAGUCCAAAGAUUUAUCGCCCAGGGAUGAGCCCGCGUAGGAUUAGCUAGUUGGUGGGGUAAAGGCCUACCAAGGCGACGAUCCUUAGCUGGUCUGAGAGGAUGAUCAGCCACACUGGGACUGAGACACGGCCCAG
rnacentral:rRNA from 1 species